rnacentral:rRNA from 1 species
CCUACGGGUGGCUGCAGUGAGGAAUAUUGGUCAAUGGGCGCGAGCCUGAACCAGCCAAGUCGCGUGAGGGAAGACGGUCCUAUGGAUUGUAAACCUCUUUUGUCGGGGAGCAAAAGACGCCACGCGUUGCGUUCCGAGAGUACCCGAAGAAAAAGCAACGGCUAACGCCGUGCCAGCAGCCGCGGUAAUACGGAGGAUUCGAGCGUUGUCCGGAUUUAUUGGGGGUAAAGGGUGCGCAGGCGGAAGAGCAAGCCAGCGGUAAAAUUGAGAGGCUCAACCUCUUCGAGCCGUUGAAACGGGUGUUCUUGAGUGAGCGAGAGGUAUGCGGAAUGCGUGGUGUAGCGGUGAAAUGCAUAGAUAUCAGGAAGAACUCCGAUUGCGAAGGCAGCAUACCGGCGCUCAACUGACGCUCAUGCACGAAAGUGUGGGUAUCGAACAGGAUUAGAUACCCUAGUAGUC